GAUGAACGCUGGCGGCGUGCCUAAUACAGGCAAGUCGAGCGAACGGACGAGAAGCUUGCUUCUCUGAUGUUAGCGGCGGACGGGUGAGUAACACGUGGAUAACCUACCUAUAAGACUGGGAUAACUUCGGGAAACCGGAGCUAAUACCGGAUAAUAUUUUGAACCGCAUGGUUCAAAAGUGAAAGACGGUCUUGCUGUCACUUAUAGAUGGAUCCGCGCUGCAUUAGCUAGUUGGUAAGGUAACGGCUUACCAAGGCAACGAUGCAUAGCCGACCUGAGAGGGUGAUCGGCCACACUGGAACUGAGACACGGUCCAGACUCCUACGGGAGGCAGCAGUAGGGAAUCUUCCGCAAUGGGCGAAAGCCUGACGGAGCAACGCCGCGUGAGUGAUGAAGGUCUUCGGAUCGUAAAACUCUGUUAUUAGGGAAGAACAUAUGUGUAAGUAACUGUGCACAUCUUGACGGUACCUAAUCAGAAAGCCACGGCUAACUACGUGCCAGCAGCCGCGGUAAUACGUAGGUGGCAAGCGUUAUCCGGAAUUAUUGGGCGUAAAGCGCGCGUAGGCGGUUUUUUAAGUCUGAUGUGAAAGCCCACGGCUCAACCGUGGAGGGUCAUUGGAAACUGGAAAACUUGAGUGCAGAAGAGGAAAGUGGAAUUCCAUGUGUAGCGGUGAAAUGCGCAGAGAUAUGGAGGAACACCAGUGGCGAAGGCGACUUUCUGGUCUGUAACUGACGCUGAUGUGCGAAAGCGUGGGGAUCAAACAGGAUUAGAUACCCUGGUAGUCCACGCCGUAAACGAUGAGUGCUAAGUGUUAGGGGGUUUCCGCCCCUUAGUGCUGCAGCUAACGCAUUAAGCACUCCGCCUGGGGAGUACGACCGCAAGGUUGAAACUCAAAGGAAUUGACGGGGACCCGCACAAGCGGUGGAGCAUGUGGUUUAAUUCGAAGCAACGCGAAGAACCUUACCAAAUCUUGACAUCCUUUGACAACUCUAGAGAUAGAGCUUUCCCCUUCGGGGGACAAAGUGACAGGUGGUGCAUGGUUGUCGUCAGCUCGUGUCGUGAGAUGUUGGGUUAAGUCCCGCAACGAGCGCAACCCUUAAGCUUAGUUGCCAUCAUUAAGUUGGGCACUCUAAGUUGACUGCCGGUGACAAACCGGAGGAAGGUGGGGAUGACGUCAAAUCAUCAUGCCCCUUAUGAUUUGGGCUACACACGUGCUACAAUGGACAAUACAAAGGGCAGCGAAACCGCGAGGUCAAGCAAAUCCCAUAAAGUUGUUCUCAGUUCGGAUUGUAGUCUGCAACUCGACUACAUGAAGCUGGAAUCACUAGUAAUCGUAGAUCAGCAUGCUACGGUGAAUACGUUCCCGGGUCU
rnacentral:rRNA from 1 species